rnacentral:lncRNA from 10 species
GGCGCAGGGAGCGGGAGCCGCCGCCGCCGCCGCCGCCGCCGGAGCUAACCUCGGGGACCGAGAUGCAGCUGAGAGGUGGGCGGGCGCAUCCCCAUUCCAUCGGAUCCUCUGUUCCAUUGUCUGUCUGUCUCCUGGACCCAUCCUGGCCUCGUCUUUGCCCUCCGUCGCAGCCUGGCCUUGGGCCUGCCCUUCCCGGGGACACUCGGUCUGAUCCCCUUCCCUCCUCCCUCAAUGUCUCAUGUCCCUGUCUGAUCUCUCCCUUUCCCCUGCCCCACCGUCCCAUCUGUCCCCACGUUGCCCCUCCCCCCAGGCCGGGAGCAGGCUGGGAGCCAUGCGGGGGUGUGCGAGGGAGAUGGAUGCCACCCCGAUGCCUCCUGCACCCUCAUGCCCUUCGGAGCGAGUGACUGUGUAACCGACCACCUCCCAUGACCCACCCCAGCCCCCUGAACCCCCUUCAUGGACAGAUCCCCCACAGCCUGGGGCAGAAGAGGCGUCGAGGGCGCCAGAAGUGGCGGCAGCAGCAGCCGCAGCAGCCAAAGAGAGGCAAGAGAAAGAGAAAGCGGGCGGUGGAGGGGUCCCGGAAGAGCUGGUCCCCGUGGUUGAGCUGGUCCCCGUGGUUGAAUUGGAAGAGGCCAUAGCCCCAGGCUCAGAGGCCCAGGGCGCUGGGUCUGGUGGGGACGCGGGGGUGCCCCCAAUGGUGCAGCUGCAGCAGUCACCAC